rfam:Rhodosporidium toruloides NP11 unplaced genomic scaffold Scaffold14, whole genome shotgun sequence.
GCCCUGCUGUCGCAAUGGUAGCGAGCCAGACUUCUACUUUCUCGGCCCUUUUACCGAAUUGUGAUCUGGAGGCUGCGGGUUCGAGUCCCGCGUAGGGCU